rnacentral:rRNA from 1 species
GACGAAGGGGGCUAGCGUUGUUCGGAAUUACUGGGCGUAAAGGGCUCGUAGGUGGCCAACUAAGUCAGACGUGAAAUCCCUCGGCUUAACCGGGGAACUGCGUCUGAUACUGGAUGGCUUGAGUUCGGGAGAGGGAUGCGGAAUUCCAGGUGUAGCGGUGAAAUGCGUAGAUAUCUGGAGGAACACCGGUGGCGAAGGCGGCAUCCUGGACCGGUAUUGACGCUGAGGCGCGAAAGCCAGGGGAGCAAACGGG